AACACCCACUGUCCUUGGGAAGUUUAUUCAGUACUAUCACCAUUUACUGAUGAACAUGUUGGCAUACUGAACAGUCUAAUUCAGAAAGAGAAUGGAGAGGUUAGAGAAACCAGAGAGUGACUGAGGAAAGCUGACAUUCAGGCUCAAUGUAAAACAUCAAGAAAGAAGUGGUCAAGAGAAUCAUGUAAUGAGUUCUGUGCAAGAAAAGGGAAUCUUUCUGGAGAAAGUGGGCUUGUGCUGAAUCUUCCAGUAAUGGGGAACAGAAAGCUGGAGUCUCUGGGAACCAACAGAACUUCCCUGCUUGUCAUGCCUCUUGAAAUUCAAGGAUUCCAGGAUAGUAAAUGUUCUGGCUCAGAAGUCGGAAACUGGUCCCAUCAUUGAGAAUUUGUUUUUGAGACAGGAGAAACAUCUUCACAGACUCUGAAGGGUACACACCUGUGGAGUAGACACCAGGGAAAUUCUUAGACUUCUAUUUCAGCAAGCCUCCUGAGAGAGCUCAUGCAACUCCACCUCCCAUCAUCUAAACAGCCUGCCUCUACUGACAUAGGGUCAGCACAGGCGAUACAUUUAUAGGAUUCAUCGCAAUCUUUGUCUUUAGCUACCUUAAAUCCACCAAAGAUGAAUACAUUCUGAAUGUUGCCCUCAUGAAUAAAGAAGAUUUGUCAGCAACAAAAGGGAUUCUAAGACCUAGUUUAGUAAAGAGGGAGGACCUCAAGUCUCUAGUUACGAUGUAAAGCAAAGGAUAACCAGACUACAACUCACAGCUCCAGAGAAGCUAACUAAGAAGAAGGACCCUAAGAGAGACACAUAGAUAGUCCUGCAAAGAAGAAAUAGAUUAGAUCUACAUGAGCAAACUGGUAUUAAUGGGGGUAAUGGAGGACAAGGAAUGGGGAAUGAGAACACAGGGGAAUGGGAUGGUCAAGCUGGAAAGGGACAGAGUGGUAGAGCAAGGAAAGAGAUACAAUGAUAAAUGAAGAUAUCAUGGGAAUAUGGAGAAACAGGGUGCUAGGAAAGUUCUCAGGAACCCACAAGGAUGAUCUUACCUUAGAGUACUGGCAAUAGUCAAGAGAAUGCCUGAGCUGGCCUACUCAGGGACUGGAUGGCUAAAUACCCUAACAAUCAUCAUAGUACUUUCAUCCAGUGACUCAUGGAAGCAGAUGAACAGAUCCACAGCCAGGUGCCAGGCCAAUUUCCAGGUGUCCAAUUGAUGAGAGAGACAAAGAAUUCUAUGACCAUGAUGGAAAAAAGUACAGAGACAACUAGCCAAAGUAGUGGAAAUGCAUGAACUGUGGAUCAAUAGCUGAGGAGACCCCAUGGUACUGGACUAGGCACUCUGGAUAGGUGAGACAGUUGUUUAUCUUGAAUUGUUUAGGGGGCACCCAGGCAGUGGGAUCAGGACCUGUCCCUAGUGCAUUAGCCAGCUUUUUGGAGCCUAGUUCCUACUGUGACACACUUUGUGAAGCCUUGGUGCAGGGAGGAAGGGCUUGGACUUGCUUCAACUGAAGGUACCAGGCUCUGCUGACUGCCCAUGGGAGACCUUGCCUUGGAGGAGGAUACCACCUUACAAGAGAAGUACCUAUUAACAAACAUAGCGACAAGGAAACUGGUGAACAGUACAGAGAAUACAUGCGAGAAAAUGUAUGAACAAUAACUAACUACAGAGAAGAAAAUAAGAUGGACAAGCUGGGUGUAUUGUCUUAUGGCUUUAACCCCAACACUCCAAAGUCUGGCGCAGAUCAUAAACUGGACACUGGCUGGUAUGGGGCUAAGAGCAUGGAGACAAAGUCAUCCUCAGAAAAUGUGUUCUGUGAGGAGCAUCUUCACUGAAAUUGGAGAGAUUCACUUGAAGUCCUCUGAUAUUUUAACUUUGAAGAAAACAUUUUUGACUACUAAAAGGAUCUCAAUCUCUUAUGGUCAAGAAAAGUAUACCUGUUAGGAUCACUUAAACAACAUCUUGUUUCCUAUGACUGAUUAUUGCCUGUAAGUCUGCACCAGAGUGAUGAAAUGAAAACUUUUUAAAACAAAAUUCAAGUGAUGAAGAAAAUCAAGCUGGAAAGAAAUAUAUUUUAAAUAUUCAGUGUGUUAAAGACCUUGCAUAUCUGAGUACUCUUCAAAUGCAUGAAAAAGCACAUACUGGAGAGAAACCCUAUGAAUGUAAUCAAUGUGGUAAAGCUUUUGAAUUUCAAAAUCAUCUUCAAGAACUUAAAAGAAAGCAUACAGGAGAGAAACCGUAUGAAGGUAAUCACCCUGGUAAAGCUUUUUCAUGUCAAAGUAGUCUUCAAAUGCAUAAAAGAACACAUACUGGAGAGAAACCCUAUGAAUGUAAUCUGUGAAGUUAAAGCCUUUGCAAGAUUCAGUAGUCUUCAAAGGCAUACAAGGAUCUAUUCUGGAGAGAAACCCUAUGAAUGUAAUCACUGUGGUAAAGCCUUUAAAUGCCAGAGUAAUCUUCAAAUGCACAAAAGAACACAUACUGGAGAGAAACCCUAUGAAUAUAAUCAGUGUGGUAAAGCCUUUGCACAAUUCAGUCAUCUUCAAACGCAUACAAGAACCCAUUCUGGAGAGAAACCCUAUGAAUGUAGAGAAUGUGGUAAAACCUUUUCACAUCAAAACAAUCUUCAAAUGCAUAAAAGAACACAUACUGGAAAGAAGCCCUAUGAAUGUAAUCUGUGUGGUAAAGCCUUUGCACAAUUAAGUCACCUUCAAAGGCAUAACAGAACACAUACUGGAGAGAAACCCUAUGAAUGUAAUCACUGUGGUAAAUCCUUUGCAUGGCGUAGCAAUCUUAAUAUACAUAAAAAAAACACACUGGAGAGAAACCCUGUGAAUGUAAUCAAUGUGGUAAAGCCUUUGCAUGUUACAAAGUUUUUAAAUCACAUGAAAGAAAACAUACUGGAGAGAAACCCUAUGACUGUGAUCAGUGUGGUAAAGCCUUUGGAUAUCUAAGUAAUCUUCAACAACAUAAAAGGAAGCAUACUGGAGAGAAGCCCUAUGAAUGUAAUCACUGGUAAAGCCUUUACAUGGCACAGUAAUCUUCAAAUGCAUAAAAGAACACAUACUGGAGAGAAACCCUAUGAAUAUUAUCUUUGUGGUAAAGCCUUUGUAUAUCACAAUAGUCUUCAAAGGCAUAUACGAACCCAUUCUGGAGAGAAACCCUAUGAAUGUGAACAAUGUGGUAAAGCCUUUACAUGUCAAAAAAGUCUUCAAAGGCAUAAAAAAAAACACAUACUGGAGAAAAACCCUAUGUAUGCAAUCAGUGUGGUAAAGCCUUUGCCCAAAACAGUACUCUUCAAAUGCAUAAAAGAACACACACUGGAGAGAAACCCUAUGAAUGUAAUGAGUGUGGUAAAGCCUUUGCAUUUAUUAGUAAUCUUUAAAGGCAUAAAGGAAGACAUACUGGAGAGAAACCCUCUGAAUAUAAUCAGUGUGGUAAAGCCUUUGCACAAAACAGUACCCUUCUAAUGCAUAAAAAACAAAUACUAGAGACAAACCCUAUUAAUGUAAUUAGUGUGGUAAAGCCUUUGCAUGUCAUAUAAAUCUUCAAAUACAUAAAAGAACACCUACUGGAGAGAAACCAUAUGAAUGCAAUCAGUGUGGUAGAGCCUCUGCACAACUCAAUUGUCUUCAAUGCAUAAAUGAGCACAAACUGGAGAGAACCCCUGUGAAUGUAAUGCAUGUGGUAAAGCCUUUGCAUAUCACAGAAGUCUUCAUAUGCAUGACAGAACACAUACUGGAGAGAAACUAUGAAUGCAAUCACUGUGGUAAAGCCCUUGCUCUUCUGAGUACUCUUCAAAGGCAUAAAGAGAACACAUACUAGAGAGAAACCUAUGCAUGCAAUCAGUGUGGUAAAGCCUUUGCAUGUCUCAAAAUUUUUCAAAUGCAUUAAAGAAAACAUACUGGAGAGAA